rnacentral:rRNA from 1 species
UAACAGAGGGUGCGAGCGUUUAAUCGGAAUUACUGGGCGUAAAGGGCGCGUAGGCGGUCUAUCAAGUGAGAUGUGAAAUCCCCGGGCUUAACCUGGGAACUGCAUCUUAAACUGAUAGGCUGGAGUACUGUAGAGGUAGUGGAAUUUCCGGUGUAGCGGUGAAAUGCGUAGAGAUCGGAAGGAACAUCAGUGGCGAAGGC